AUUGAACGCUGGCGGCGUGUUUAAGACAUGCAAGUCGCACGGUGUUAUUUUGGUAGCAAUACUUGGAUGGCACAGUGGCGCACGGGUGAGUAACACGUGAAUUACAUGCCCUGUAGAGGGGGAUAGCCCAGGGAAACUUGGAUUAAUACCCCAUGGUCUCGCAAGAGUAAAGGUGGCCGCAAGGCUGUCGCUACAGGAUUGGUUCGCGCCCUAUCAGCUUGUUGGCGGGGUAACGGCCCACCAAGGCUACGACGGGUACCUGGUCUGAGAGGGCGGUCAGGCACACUGGAACUGAGACACGGUCCAGAGACCUACGGGUGGCAGCAGUGGAGAAUAAUUCACAAUGGGGGCAACCCUGAUGGUGCAACGCCGCGUGGAGGAUGACGGUCUUCGGAUUGUAAACUCCUGUCAUCCGGGAGUAAGACCUGGGCAUGAAUAGUGCACAGGGUUGAUAGUACCGGAAGAGGAAGGGACGGCUAACUUCGUGCCAGCCGCCGCCGUAACAC
rnacentral:rRNA from 1 species